rnacentral:rRNA from 1 species
UGGGGGAUAUUGCACAAUGGGCGAAAGCCUGAUGCAGCGACGCCGCGUGGGGGAUGAAGGCCUUCGGGUUGUAAACUUCUUUUGCUCUGAACAAGGCGCACCAUGGGGUGUGUUGAGUGUAGGGGUUGAUUAGCGCCGGCUAACUACGUGCCAGCAGCCGCGGUAAUACGUAGGGCGCGAGCGUUGUCCGGAAUUAUUGGGCGUAAAGGGCUUGUAGGUGGCUGGGUGCGUCUGUCGUGAAAGCUCAUGGCUUAACUGUGGGUUUGCGGUGGGUACUGGCUGGCUUGAGUGCAGUAGUGGAGGCUGGAAUUCCUGGUGUAGCGGUGGAAUGCGCAGAUAUCAGGAGGAAUACCGGUGGCGAAGGCGGGUCUCUGGGCUGUUACUGACACUGAGGAGCGAAAGCAUGGGGAGCGAACAGG